CGUAAUUACUGUAUGUUGGGGAAACUGCAGCUAUUUUAUCAGAAGGACAUGAAUAAACAUUACUAAACGUAACGUGGAUAAAACUUUAAUGGAUAAACCCAUCCGUGAACAGAUUUAUUUUAAUUGCCAAUUGUGUUAAAACAAUGAAAACUACAACUCCCAUAAUGCCAAUUCAAAACUACUUUUACAUCAAUUGUUUUGAUUG